CCUUCGAUAGCUCAGUUGGUAGAGCGGUGGACUGUAGUUGGAAAAUAGAAAGUGAUGGACAUCCAUAGGUCGCUGGUUCGAAUCCGGCUCGAAGGA
rnacentral:tRNA from 1 species